UACGAAGGGGGCUAGCGUUGUUCGGAUUUACUGGGCGUAAAGCGCGUGUAGGCGGACUGUUAAGUUGGGGGUGAAAUCCCGAGGCUCAACCUCGGAACUGCCUUCAAAACUGGCGGUCUGGAGUGAAGGAGAGGCGAGUGGAAUUCCGAGUGUAGAGGUGAAAUUCGUAGAGAUUCGGAGGAACACCAGUGGCGAAGGCGGCUCGCUGGCCUUUGACUGACGCUGAGACGCGAAAGCGUGGGGAGCAAACAGG
rnacentral:rRNA from 1 species